rnacentral:rRNA from 1 species
UCCCGUUGAUCCUGCGGGAGGUUGCUGCUAUGAGGGUUCGACUAAGCCAUGCAAGUCAAGGGGGUACUUCGGUACCACCGGCAGAAUGCUCAGUAACACGUCGAUAAUCUGCCCUUAGAUUCGGGAUAACCUCGGAAAACUGAGGCUAAAACCGGAUAGAGAAUUCUAAUUGGAAAAUGGUUUUCUUUAAACGCAAGGUCUAAGGAUGAGUUGGCGGCGGAUUAGGUUGUUGGUGAGGUAAAGGCUCACCAAGCCGAAGAUCUGUAGGGGCCUUGGAAGAGGUAGCCCCGAGAAGGACACUGAGAUACUGGUCCUAGCCCUACGGGGUGCAGCAGGCGCGAAACCUUUACAAUGCACGAAAGUGUGAUAAGGGAACCCUCAGUGCUCAUGCAAUGCAUGGGCUUUUGCCAAGAGUAAAUAUCUUGGCGAAUAAGUGAUGGGUAAGACUGGUGCCAGCAGCCGCGGUAACACCAGCGUCACGAGUGGGAAUCGCGAUUAUUGGGCCUAAAGCGUCCGUAGCCGGUUUGAUAAAUCUUUAGUGAAAUCGAUUAGCUUAACUAAUCGGCGUGCUAGAGAGACUGUCAGACUAGGAACCGGGAGGAGUUAGAGGUAUAUGAGGGGGAGCGGUAAAAUGCAAUAAUCCUUCAUAGACCACCUGUGGCGAAGGCGUCUAACUAGAACGGAUUCGACGGUGAGGGACGAAAGCUAGGGGAGCGAACCGGAUUAGAUACCCGAGUAGUCCUAGCUGUAAACUCUGCGAGCUAGGUGUUGCACAUUCUAUAUGGAUGUGCAGUGUCGUAGCGAAGGUGUUAAGCUCGCCGCCUGGGAAGUACGGUCGCAAGGCUGAAACUUAAAGGAAUUGGCGGGGGAGCACCACAAGGGGUGCGGCGUGCGGUUUAAUCUAAUUCAACACAGAGAAUCUCACCAGAAGCGACGGCAGGAUGAAAGUCAGAUUGAAGGUCUUACUUGACGAGCCGAGAGGUAGUGCAUGGCCGCCGUCAGCUCGUGCUGUAAGGUGUCCUGUUAAGUCAGGCAACGAGCGAGACCUGUGCCUACAAUUGCUAUCGACCUUUGGGAUCGAGCACAUUGUAGGGACUGCCAGUGAAAACUGGAGGAAGGUGCAGGCUACGGUAGGUCUGUAUGCUCCGAAUCUCCUGGGCUACACGCGCGCAACAAUGGUAUGGACAAUGGGAUACGACUCCGAAAGGAGGAGUUAAGCCUCUAAACCAUAUCCAAGUACAGAUUGAGGAUUGUAAUUCAUCCUCAUGACGAUGGAAUCCCUAGUAAUCGGGUAUCAUCAAUGCCCGGUGAAUAUGUCCCUGCUCCUUGCACACACUGCCCGUCAAACCACCCGAGUAGGGUUUAGGUGAAAUCAAGUUUAUAAUUUGGGAAAACCUAUGCUCAGCGAGGAGGGUUAAGUCGUCACAAGGUA